AUUGAACGCUGGCGGAAUGCUUUACACAUGCAAGUCGAACGGCAGCACGGGAGCUUGCUCCUGGUGGCGAGUGGCGAACGGGUGAGUAAUGCGUCGGAACGUGCCGAGUAAUGGGGGAUAACGCAGCGAAAGUUGUGCUAAUACCGCAUACGCCCUGAGGGGGAAAGUGGGGGAGUCGCAAGACCUCACGUUAUUCGAGCGGCCGACGUCUGAUUAGCUAGUUGGUGGGGUAAAGGCCGUACCAAGGCGACGAUCAGUAGCGGGUCUGAGAGGAUGAUCCGCCACACUGGGACUGAGACACGGCCCAGACUCCUACGGGAGGCAGCAGUGGGGAAUUUUGGUAC
rnacentral:rRNA from 1 species